CAGCUUUAUAUUAAAGAAGAGUGCCAACUCCACUGUGAAGACAACAGUAUGAAAUCCCUCAGCCUGAACAAUCUGGUGUGCUUAAUCCUCCUUCACAAUAUUGGGCAGAUAUGGACAUUUGAGAACUGUGGAGAGGAUUUCCAGGAUGAAGUCCAUGAGAUGACCAGACAAUGAAACGUGCUGGAGUUUAUCAGACAGACACUGGACAAACUCGGAGCUCUCUCUGC